CUUGUAUGUGCUUGUUUGAUGAUUUGAUCAGCUGUUGACUUCAUUUCAUACUGCUGCCAAUUCAUGACUUGGCUGAUUUGACUUGAGUUGCAACCCCAGCUCCAGGAUUGCAUUUUGCUCAUUUUCAGUCAUGUUAGUCACUAAGAAGAAAAAAAAAGAAAGAAAAAAAGUAGCCUGCUUUUGAGGUAUUUAAGUGAUUCAUGCGUCCGUACAGAGCUGCCCACUGGACAGCCACGCUGUCGUGCUCCUCUCUGCUGGGACAUUUCCUACUGCAAGGCAAAUAUUUUGAAGGUUAUUGGGAAUAUAGAGAAGGGACUCGCUGGGCCACCAAUACCAGUUUCCUGCAAUUACAGCUUCACUACAGUUGUAGCACUGCUGGAUCAUCCAGAGUUAUGGGAAAUGAUUCUUGAAAACCAGGACCUAAGAAGCCAGACCCAGGUCCUCACCAUAACUUGAGUGUCAUCCAAGAGGUAGAAACCAACUCAAACUGCUUGCCACCAAAAACAGGAUUUCAAAGCCUGUGAAAGCCAUCAUUCCCACACUACAACAUGGGCAAGACCUCUGUUGGCAUUGGAGCUGUGGUAGGAUGAGGGCAGCUGCCACAUUUAGGAAUUCCUUCCUGCUGCCUGACAUAUGUGACCAGUGGGAAGCGCCUGACAAGCCGUCAUUUCUACUCUCCAUGAAAGACAGCCCUGUUCUGUGCCAUUCACGUCUGGUUUGUUGCUAGAACAAGAAUGUACUCUUCAAAAUUGAGUUCAGCAUUUUGGAGAACUGCCUCUAUGGACACAAGGGUUGGAAGAAAAAAAAAAAUUACAUAAAAAACAGCGUCUUUCUCUAUUUCUACAGCAUUACAGGAAAGACGCAGGGACUUUAAGGGAAAGAUGCAGCUGAUUGCCCAAUGCUGCUUUCUCUACAGUAUUCAGGUCUCUGCCAGAUUUCCAGCACACAGACAUGACCAAGCUGUGUUUCUGCAUCAAAUGUCAGCUUAUUUGAUUUCUCAGAAUGGUGGAAAUGGCAGUGUAUGAGCUGCGCCUGCAGCGUUCAAAAUCAGUUCGUGUCAGACAAAGGCAGAUUAAAGCAAGGUUUUGUUCAGAAGCUGCAACAGAAGAGUGAUUAUGGAUCAUCAUUUCUACAGGUUCCUCAUUUUUAUCUUAUAACU